rnacentral:rRNA from 1 species
UACGUACGAGGCAAGCGUUAUCCGGAAUUACUGGGCGUAAAGCGUGCGCAGGCGGUUCUCCAAGUCCGUUGUGAAAGCCCCGGGCUCAACCUGGGAAUGGCAGUGGAAACUAGGGGACUGGAAUCUGGCAGAGGGGGGUGGAAUGCCGCGUGUAGCAGUGAAAUGCGUAGAGAUGCGGCGGAACACCGAUGGCGAAGGCAGCCCCCUGGGCUGAGAUUGACGCUCAGGCACGAAAGCGUGGGGAGCAAACAGG